ensembl:ncRNA F12F6.18 ncRNA
UUCACGCAUUUCAUUCAAAUUCUCGUUUCGUUUUUCGUUUUCAUCGUCUCCACCACCAUCAUAGUGAAUUGGAAGAGAAUGAAGGAAGACGAAGGAGAAGAACGUCAGUGAGGAGGAGCAUGUGCGUGUCCUUCAUGCUUUUGCCUCAGUCGCCAUUUUUUACAAGUCUUCUCCCGUGUUUUUUGGCCGAGAAACACUGCAAAAUGUUAUGCAUGAGUGUAUGUGUGGGAAGAGUGUGUGGCAAAGCACGGCGCGAAAAAUUUCAUUUCAGUUCUCUUUUUUCCACGUCCAUGAGCUCUCUGCUUACUCUCCCGCAACUCAUAAUUUGAUCUGAAGAACACCUUUCCCCUCCCA